rnacentral:lncRNA from 1 species
GUGAGAUACAGUUUAGCUCUUCUUGCCCAGGCUGGAGUGCAAUGGUGCGGUCUUGGCUCACUGCAACCUCCACCUCCUGGGUUCAAGCAAUUCUUCGGUCCCAGCCUCUCAAGUAGCUGGGAUUAUAGGCGUCCGCCAACAUGCCCGGCUCAUUUUUGUAUUUUUAGUAGAGAUGGGGUUUCACCAUGUUAGCCAGGCUGGUCUCAAACUCCUGACCGCAGGUGAUCCACCCACCUCGGCCUCCCAAAGUACUAGGAUUACGGGCAUGAGCCAACAUGCCCAGCCCUAUUCUUUAAUUUUUAAGUAGCUUUGGCCUUCACUAGCAUUACUACAGUCCUAUAUGUAAAAGUAUACUGCUGAUGAGGAAAAUAUACCUCAUUUAAAAUGUGUGCUUUAAAGUCGAGUCUCUGCUAUCUACCAUACCAAUGUAGGUUUUGGUCACUAUCAAGUUAUUUUCGUUCUCAGCAAGUAAAACUGCCAUGUUCUUCAUGAUUUUUUUCUAUGCAUACACAGUCAUUGCUAAGAUAAACAUUAUUUUUAGACAUCAAAAUUCCUAGCUUAUUAUUUUACAUCAUAUUAGUGCAAUUGUCAAGAGACAAUUUUAUAUUUCUUAAUUCACUUUUUCUCUUUGUAAUCUGAGUUCCCCAA